rnacentral:rRNA from 1 species
CUUAGUGGCGGACGGGUGAGUAACGCGUGGGUAACCUGCCUUAUACAGGGGGAUAACACUUAGAAAUAGGUGCUAAAACCGCAUAAGCGCACAGUACCGCAUGGUACAGUGUGAAAAACUCCGGUGGUAUAAGAUGGACCCGCGUCUGAUUAGCUGGUUGGUGAGGUAACGGCCCACCAAGGCAACGAUCAGUAGCCGGCCUGAGAGGGUGAACGGCCACAUUGGGACUGAGACACGGCCCAAACUCCUACGGGAGGCAGCAGUGGGGAAUAUUGCACAAUGGGGGAAACCCUGAUGCAGCGACGCCGCGUGAGUGAAGAAGUAUUUCGGUAUGUAAAGCUCUAUCAGCAAGGAAGAAAAUGACGGUACUUGACUAAGAAGCCCCGGCUAACUACGUGCCAGCAGCCGCGGUAAUACGUAGGGGGCAAGCGUUAUCCGGAUUUACUGGGUGUAAAGGGAGCGUAGACGGCAUAGCAAGUCUGAAGUGAAAGGCGGGGGCUCAACCCCCGGGCUGCUUUGGAAACUGCUUGGCUGGAGUGCAGGAGAGGUAAGUGGAAUUCCUAGUGUAGCGGUGAAAUGCGUAGAUAUUAGGAGGAACACCAGUGGCGAAGGCGGCUUACUGGACAGUAACUGACGUUGAGGCUCGAAAGCGUGGGGAGCAAACAGGAUUAGAUACCCUGGUAGUCCACGCGGUAAACGAUGAAUGCUAGGUGUUGGGGAGCAAAGCUCCUCGGUGCCGCCGCAACGCAUUAACCUUCCCACCUGGGGAAGACGUUCCCAAGAAUGAAAACUCAAAGGAAUUGACGGGGACCCGCCCAAGCGGUGGAGCAUGUGGUUUAAUUGGAUGAUACGGGAGGACCCUUACCCGGGCUUGAACUGUAGGUGACGCCGGCAGAGACGCCGGUUUCUUCGGACACCUACGGAGGUGCUGCAUGGUGGUCGUCAGCUCGUGCCGUGAGGUGUCGGCUUAAGUGCCAUAACGAGCGCAACCCUUCUCCCUGUUUGCCAUCAGGUUGUGCUGGGCACUCCAGGGACACUGCCAUCGCAAGAUGUGAGGAAGGUGGGGAUGACGUCAAAUCAGCACGGCCCUUACGUCCGGGGCUACACACGUGUUACAAUGGGCGGUACAGAGGGCAGCCACCACGCGAGUGGGCGCCAAUCCUAAAAACCGCUCUCAGUUCGGACUGGAGUCUGCAACCCGACUCCACGAAGCUGGAUUCGCUAGUAAUCGCGCAUCAGCCAUGGCGCGGUGAAUACGUUCCCGGGCCUUGCACACACCGCCCGUCA